AGUGAACGCUGGCGGUAGGCCUAACACAUGCAAGUCGAACGGCAGCACAGUAAGAGCUUGCUCUUACGGGUGGCGAGUGGCGGAUGGGUGAGGAAUACAUCGGAAUCUACUUUUUCGUGGGGGAUAACGUAGGGAAACUUACGCUAAUACCGCAUACGACCUACGGGUGAAAGCAGGGGAUCCUCGGACCUUGCGCGAUUGAAUGAGCCGAUGUCGGAUUAGCUAGUUGGCGGGGUAAAGGCCCACCAAGGCGACGAUCCGUAGCUGGUCUGAGAGGAUGAUCAGCCACACUGGAACUGAGACACGGUCCAGACUCCUACGGGAGGCAGCAGUGGGGAAUAUUGGACAAUGGGCGCAAGCCUGAUCCAGCCAUACCGCGUGGGUGAAGAAGGCCUUCGGGUUGUAAAGCCCUUUUGUUGGGAAAGAAAAGCAGCAGGUUAAUACCCCGCUGUUCUGACGGUACCCAAAGAAUAAGCACCGGCUAACUUCGUG
rnacentral:rRNA from 1 species